UACGUAGGGGGCGAGCGUUGUCCGGAUUCAUUGGGCGUAAAGAGCUCGUAGGCGGUUCGCUAAGUCAGGUGUGAAAUCUCCACGCUCAACGUGGAGGGGCCACCUGAUACUGGCGUGACUCGAGUCCGGUAGGGGAGUGUGGAAUUCCCGGUGUAGCGGUGAAAUGCGCAGAUAUCGGGAGGAACACCAGUGGCGAAGGCGGCACUCUGGCUCGGUACUGACGCUGAGGUGCGAAAGCGUGGGGAGCAAACAGG
rnacentral:rRNA from 1 species